rnacentral:rRNA from 1 species
CCUCAAUGGGCGAAAGCCUGAUGGAGCAAUACCGCGUGAGGGAUGAAGCAUCGUGGUGUGUAAACCUCUUUUCUUAACGAAGAAGUCCUGACGGUAGUUAAGGAAUAAGCACCGGCUAACUCCGUGCCAGCAGCCGCGGUAAUACGGGGGGUGCAAGCGUUGUCCGGAAUGAUUGGGCGUAAGGCAUCUGUAGGUGGUUUUUAAAGUCGACUGUUAAAGCCCAGGGCUCAACUUUGGAUAAGCGGUCGAGUACUUAAGGACUUGAGUUUGGUAGGGGUAGAGGGAAUUCCUAGUGGAGCGGUGAAAUGCACAGAGAUUAGGAAGAACACCGAUGGCGAAAGCACUCUACUGGGCCACAACUGACACUGAGAGAUGAAAGUCGGGGGAGCGAAAAGGAUUAGAUACCCUUGUAGUCCCGACCGUAAACGAUGGGUACUAAGUGCUGGCAAAACCAGUGCUGUAGCUAACGCGUUAAGUACCCCGCCUGGGGAGUAUGCUCGCAAGAGUG